rnacentral:rRNA from 1 species
GAUGAACGCUGGCGGUAUGCCUAACACAUGCAAGUCGUACGAGAGUUUUUAACUCUAGUGGCGGACGGGUGAGUAACACGUGAGAAUUUGCCUUUAGGAGGGGGACAACAAUCGGAAACGAAUGCUAAUACCCCAUAUGCUUUCGAGUGAAAUGGAUUUUAUCCGCCUAGAGAGAAGCUCGCGGCUGAUUAGCUUGUUGGUAAGGUAAGAGCUUACCAAGGCGACGAUCAGUAUCUGGUUUGAGAGGACGAUCAGACACACUGGAACUGAGACACGGCCCAGACUCCUACGGGAGGCAGCAGUGGGGAAUCUUGGACAAUGGGCGCAAGCCUGAUCCAGCCAUGCCGCGUGGAUGAUGAAGGCCUUAGGGUUGUAAAAUCCUUUCAACGGGGACGAUAAUGACGGUACCCGUAGAAGAAGCCCCGGCUAACUUCGUG